CCUACGGGUGGCAGCAGUGGGGAAUAUUGCACAAUGGGGGAAACCCUGAUGCAGCGACGCCGCGUGAGUGAAGAAGUAUCUCGGUAUGUAAAGCUCUAUCAGCAGGGAAGAAAAUGACGGUACCUGAUUAAGAAGCCCCGGCUAACUACGUGCCAGCAGCCGCGGUAAUACGUCGGGGGCAAGCGUUAUCCGGAUUUACUGGGUGUAAAGGGAGCGUAGACGGCAGUACAAGUCUGGAGUGAAAUGCCGGGGCUUAACCCCGGAACUGCUUUGGAAACUGUGCGGCUAGAGUGCAGGAGAGGUAAGUGGAAUGCCUAGUGUAGCGGUGAAAUGCGUAGAUAUUAGGAGGAACACCAGUGGCGAAGGCAGCUUACUGGACUGUAACUGACGUUGAGGCUCGAAAGCGUGGGGAGCGAACAGGAUUAGAUACCCGUGUAGUC
rnacentral:rRNA from 1 species